rnacentral:rRNA from 1 species
GUAAGGAAUAUUGGGCAAUGGAGGCAACUCUGACCCAGCCAUGCCGCGUGAAGGAUUGACGGCCCUCUGGGUUGUAAACUUCUUUUGUACGGGAAUAACCCUCCGGACGUGUCCGGAGCUGAAGGUACCGUAAGAAUAAGGAUCGGCUAACUCCGUGCCAGCAGCCGCGGUAAUACGGAGGAUCCAAGCGUUAUCCGGAUUUACUGGGGUUAAAGGGUGCGUAGGCGGAUUAAUAAGUCAGUGGUGAAAGCCUGCAGCUUAACUGCAGAACUGCCAUUGAUACUGUUAGUCUGGAGUAUGGGUGAGGUAGCUGGAAUGUGUCAUGUAGCGGUGAAAUGCUUAGAGAUGACACAGAACACCGACGGCGAAGGCAGGUUACCAACCCAUUACUGACGCUGAGGCACGAAAGCGUGGGGAUCAAACAGGAUUAGAUACCCCUGUAGUCC